GAGAAACUUCCUGGCUCACAUUUUCCACAUAAACACUAGAGUGCUGGGCAGUGUUAACGGCUCCUGCCUAAUGCACGAGAGAACGACCUCUGUCCAAAGCCAGCAGCGAUUGACGUCACAGACAGAGCGUCUCGGAGACUCGCCGGAAGAAUCAGAAUCAUACUAAUGAAAUCCUCAUCUCCUGCUUUUAUCUGUCUACAAAAUGAAGUUAAGAGCGAUGCUGGAUGGGCAUCCUGGAAGAAAAUUGAUUCUCCCUUCCCUAGUGGCCACCAGUUAUCACGAGCCCCUUGCCAGCCUACAUUGGAUUUUUGCUGCUGUGAUCUUAUGUAUGUCGUGUACAUGCAUCUGCAGUCACGGAAAGGAUUCACUGGAUGAGAAGCAGC
rnacentral:lncRNA from 1 species